rnacentral:ncRNA from 1 species
UUAAAUGCUAUGACGAAGAGCGCAUGGUUAAGUUGACUUCAGAGAGUCGGCGUUUGGUGCGAGCCGAUGUUAACGACCGUUAUGCGUAUCACUUCCGAGCAGGUGUCCGAAAUGGCCUUUGCCAGAGUAGUAUCACACGUUUAGCCGCGUUAAGGUGAUGGGCUUGUUGGAGCUCUUAGAGUGCGUAAAUUUGUUUUACGAAUUUGGGUGGUACCGCGGGAUGAUUAGCCCGCCCCAAUA